rnacentral:lncRNA from 1 species
CAUGAUCAUCAACUGAUUCAGCAAGAGACUGACCUAAAGUUCACUUUGUAAACUGUUGUUCCUUUUUAGCAGGCUUGUUCACAAAGGACAUAGUGAAGCUAGUCCAGGCUUUUAGACAUUGCAACUGACAAGAAAAGAACACUGAAAUAGCACUAAAUAAUGAAAUGACUAUGCUUUCUAGUGUUGCUGUGGUGGCCCACUGUGAUUGGCACCAAAGUCUUACCACCUCCUCCUUUAUUUAGUCUCUCUUCAUCACCUUGUUAUCAGCCUGCCAUUUAUGCAUUCAUAAUUAUAAGAUUUUCAUAAAAAAUUGAAAUUAUAAUUGCAA